UACGAAGGGGGCUAGCGUUGCUCGGAAUCACUGGGCGUAAAGGGUGCGUAGGCGGGUUUUUAAGUCAGAGGUGAAAUCCUGGAGCUCAACUCCAGAACUGCCUUUGAUACUGAGAAUCUUGAGUAUGGGAGAGGUGAGUGGAACUGCGAGUGUAGAGGUGAAAUUCGUAGAUAUUCGCAAGAACACCAGUGGCGAAGGCGGCUCACUGGCUCGGUACUGACGCUGAGGUGCGAAAGCGUGGGGAGCAAACAGG
rnacentral:rRNA from 1 species